GACGAACGCUGGCGGCGUGCUUAACACAUGCAAGUCGAACGGAAAGGCCCUGCUUUUGUGGGGUGCUCGAGUGGCGAACGGGUGAGUAACACGUGAGUAACCUGCCCCUGACUUUGGGAUAACUUCAGGAAACUGGGGCUAAUACCGGAUAGGAGCUCCUGCUGCAUGGUGGGGGUUGGAAAGUUUCGGCGGUUGGGGAUGGACUCGCGGCUUAUCAGCUUGUUGGUGGGGUAGUGGCUUACCAAGGCUUUGACGGGUAGCCGGCCUGGGAGGGUGACCGGCCACAUUGGGACUGAGAUACGGCCCAGACUCCUACGGGAGGCAGCAGUGGAGAAUAUUGCACAAUGGGCGGGAGCCUGAUGCAGCAACGCCGCGUGCGGGAUGACGGCCUUCGGGUUGUGAACCGCUUUCGCCUGUGACGAAGCGUGAGUGACGGUAAUGGGUAAAGAAGCACCGGCUAACUACGUG
rnacentral:rRNA from 1 species